GCAGGACUUAGGCAGCAUUCUCAUGUUGCUACCAUGAGAAUCAGCGCCACUACUGGUGCUGGUGCUGGUGCUGGUUCCAGUAGUCGUACU